AGGGCUAUAGCUCAGUUGGUAGAGCACCUCGUUUGGUCUACGGUUCGAGUCCGUAUAGCCCUA
rnacentral:tRNA from 1 species